rnacentral:lncRNA from 1 species
CACUCUGGGGAGGCGGAGGCGGGAACCUGGAACCAUGGCUAUGAGGCUGCUGCGGAGCCUGGCAGGGUCUGGAGGCUGACCUCGCGACGCCUGUCCGCGGCCCCCCCUGCUUCAGGUUUAGGGUUAUCUAGGGUCGCUCUGUCCUGGUCCCUAGACCCUCAAAAUGACGGCCGCCUCCACCUCCAAGUGGGGGCUGAUCACGAACGUGGUGAACAGCAUCGUGGGCGUCAGCGUGCUCACCAUGCCUUUCUGCUUCAAGCAGGUGAGUCGAGGGCGCGGGGGCAUCAGGUUGAAGUGCUCGUUUGGUGGGAAGGGGGUGUGAGCACCGCGGGUCGGGAAGAGACCCAAGCAACGUCCCCGAAGCGAGUCGCGGUCCGGAUCUGCGCGCUCAGCGGUUGCUCACACUGUACGGAAAGGCACAGAGAAGGAUACGUUAGCGGAUUGAUAGUGGUUUUGUUGGUCCUGUUUUUGACUCUGACCGACUGCAUGGCACGGAAGCAUGCCGGUCCUCGGCUUCGGCUACUCACCUUUACUCAAGGCGAUUUAAAGCAUUCGUUUGGUCUGAUCUGUAUCAUGUGUCACCGCAGUUGGAAAAGCCGGCAUACAAAAAAGUUUGGUGUUAUUUCUGUGUUGAAUGCCACAUGAAAAGAUGGUCAUUUCUACGUGGCUUUGUUGUGUCUGCCAGUGAGUUGCGGAAGCAGAUGGAAACGUCAAAUUGGGUAAUGACUCUCUUAACAAAGGGAGUGGCGGGGUUCCCCGUCGCUCAUCCAUGCCACGCGGGCUGCUGUCCUGUUCUAUUGAAACAGUGGGUUAUCAAGGCAGAGACCACUCCUCCUAUCUGAUGACUCCCAGGAGAUGAGGUGGAAGAUUAAUCCGGGAUAGACAUUUGGAAGUGAAAAUGGGUUGUUGAUAAUUUAAUAGUAGACUAACAACUACUUCGUGUGUUUUGUCGUUCACAUCCCAGGCUAAAAAUAGAAAACAAGUUUUUUUAAUCAAUGAGUUUUUGAUCCUCAACAACCUAUCCUGAUUGAGACUGUAUCUAGGGUUCCCGGGUAGGGUAUUUGAUAUGGUUAAUAGAUGUAGACAGGAGGACAGAGCUAGAUCCUCUGGGGUGACAUCUGUGUUGUGAACCCCAGUGUUGAGUUGUUGGGGGAUGGUUUUGGGUGUCUUUGGAGUGCCUACGUGUCCCAGUGUCCAUGGAAACUGUCUGUCAGCAGAAUUGCAUCCUGGGACUUGAGUGUUGGCUGGUUUCGAAUCUCCAAGUGAACUCUGUCAUCCUUGCUGCCUGUCUGUGAAGUGUGACUGACCCUUUACUGGGGUCUGUCAUAGCUGACUGGGAAAUUAGCUGUUUGGGCUCAGGUGGUUGAGCAGUCUCUUGUGGAGCCUGGCUGUGCACAGGUGCUAGGCCUCUACCAGAGCAAACGGAGAUGAUGAGCCCAGUGAAGAUCUGCUUGGGGAGAGCUUGGAACCCAGUGCAAGAGAGACCAGAAACAGUCAAACUGUGCCUAAAACCUGUCAGUUCCUAUCACUAGAUUGUUAUCUCCUCCGGAGCCUUGGGGCAAAGCCAUGAGUCCAGCAGAGUGGGGAAUGUCUUAGUGUUUAGGGGGAGCU